AAACUCAAAUGAAUUGACGGGGACCCGCACAAGUAGUGGAGCAUGUGGUUUAAUUCGAAGAUACGCGCAGAACCUUACCAACACUUGACAUGUUCGUCGCGACUCUAAGAGAUUAGAGUUUUCGGUUCGGCCGGACGAAACACAGGUGCUGCAUGGCUGUCGUCAGCUCGUGUCGUGAGAUGUUGGGUUAAGUCCCGCAACGAGCGCAACCCUUACUUUUAGUUGCUACCAUUUAGUUGGGCACUCUAAAAGAACUGCCAGUGAUAAGCUGGAGGAAGGUGGGGAUGACGUCAAGUCCUCAUGGCCCUUAUGUGUUGGGCUACACACGUGCUACAAUGGUAUUUACAGUGGGAUGCAAAGAGGCAACUCCAAGCCAACCCUCAAAGAAUACCUCAGUUCGGAUUGUACUCUGCAACUCGAGUACAUGAAGCUGGAAUUACUAGUAAUCGCGGAUCAGCGCGCCGCGGUGAAUACGUUCCCGGGUCUUGUACACACCGCCCGUCACACCAUGGAAGUUGGUUACACCUUAAGGCAAAGUGUAAAACCUUUGACUACGGUACGAUCAGCGACUGGGGUGAAGUCGUAACAAGGUAACC
rnacentral:rRNA from 1 species